rnacentral:pre_miRNA from 1 species
AACCCGUACUACCGAAUUUGUGCUUCAGUUUUCUACCACAAGUUCGUAGUAACGAGUCUC